AAAGUCGUAACAAGGUCUCCGUUGGUGAACCAGCGGAGGGAUCAUUACCGAGUUUACAACUCCCAAACCCCUGUGAACAUACCUGUCGUUGCUUCGGCGGACCCGCCCCGGCGCCCUGUGCCCGGACCCGGCGGCCGCCGGAGGACAAAACCCGUCUUACCAGUGGCAUUAUCUGAGUGGCGCAAGCAAAUACAAUCAAAACUUUCAACAACGGAUCUCUUGGUUCUG
rnacentral:misc_RNA from 1 species